GAUGAAUGCUGGCGGCGUGCCUAACACAUGCAAGUCGAGCGGCAGCGCGGUCUUCGGACUGGCGGCGAGCGGCGGACGGCUGAGUAACGCGUGGGAACAUACCCCGAAGUGAGGGAUAACCGCCCGAAAGGGUGGCUAAUACCGCAUAUGAUCUUCGGAUUAAAGGAUUUAUCCGCUUUGGGAAUGGCCUGCGUACGAUUAGAUAGUUGGUGAGGUAAUUGCUCACCAAGUCGACGAUCGUUAACUGGUCUGAGAGGAUGAUCAGUCAGACUGGAACUGAGACACGGUCCAGACUCCUACGGGAGGCAGCAGUGAGGAAUCUUCCACAAUGGGCGAAAGCCUGAUGGAGCAACGCCGCGUGCAGGAUGAAGGCCUUCGGGUCGUAAACUGCUUUUAUGAGUGAAGAAUAUGACGGUAACUCAUGAAUAAGCACCGGCUAACUACGUGCCAGCCGCCGCGGUAA
rnacentral:rRNA from 1 species